GAGAAGUGAACGCAACUAGUUUUCCUGCCUUUUUCCUCUCUAUUCCUUUCAUUUUCCUCACAGUUUGUAGAAGCAGAGUUUAGUGUUGUUGUAAGCCAAGUGUGAGGCUGUGCCUGAAAGUAAGGAAUGCUUAAGCGCACCAGGACUGUCUACUCAUAACAAAUUAGGGGACGGCAGUGAAGAAGACUCCAAUAACAACAGUAAUCCACAUAGAGAAACUAUAAAUGGAAAAUGGCGUCUUCAAUACAACCCGAACAAACUUGCGCUACUGAACCUUCCCUUUUACAGAUUUAAAGAAAAAGCUGCCAUUAGAAAGCAAAGAAUUUGCUCUGCUCUCCAGUCGCUAGGCCUGAUGGAUUUAUGGCCUGACAACAUUCUGAAGCUUAGGGGGAUAUUUAGGUAGGUAGUUUAGACAGGGCUUGCAAGUCUGAGAAACGUCAUGUUGAAACUGUAAGUAGGAUUUCCUCUGACUCUAUGUAUAUUCUGGGGGGAGGGUCCAGGUUCCCCCCCCAUGGCCUUGCCCCCACCACCUCCCUAGGCCAGUCGCUCCGCUGCUCCCCUGAGCUCAGGGCCUUCCCUUCAUGGGCCCCUCGAUGCCUGCCUCCACCACGUCCUGAGCUGCAGAGACCAGGAAGACUCUCCCACUGCAGUCUGAUCUACGCAAGAGUAACUGUCUUACGUCCUGACUUGAGCUAGCCGACUCCCUUCCUGAAGGGCUCCACUCCUCCAGACUCUUUCUCUGCGUUUCCACUCUCCCUCCCGCCUCAGUCCCUCUCCUCCAUCUUUCCUCUCUCCACCUGUCUCCCUCAGCAGACACUCCCCGCCUGCCUGCCAGUCACUCUGGCUCCUGCCAAGACUCCUUCACACUCCUGGGCUGCCCGAGUGUUUUAGGCUCAUCUUCUCUUGCACCUUCAUGUUUCCAGGAUGCUCCAAGCAGCCUCCUCCCUCUCCUCCUAAAAAGGUUUUGCUGAGGAUACCUUUGCAGGCCAUGAAUGCUUCCCUUUUCUUUGGGGGAGAAUGUUAGGAUCCCUCCAUGCAGGAUGUCUAAGCUCACACCCAAGACAGAUGCACCAGACACUAUGUCUCUGUGGAAAACAGGUUAGUGUCUCUGUCUCCAUAAAAGAGAAAAAAGAUCCUCUUAGUGGAUCACAGCAAAGGCCCAUCUAGUCCAGUGGCCAGCCACAUGUCUCCAAGAAGCCCAUAUCCAUUAGCCCACUCCUGUUUUUUGCCCUCUAGCUGGUAGAAUUCAGUGGUAGGUUGCCUCUAAACCUGGAGGUUCUAUAGAGCUAUCAUUAAUAACAGCCACAGAUAGAUGACUUCUCCUUGCUUCCAUGAAUUUGUGGAAUCCCCUUUCCCACCCUUCAAGCUGCUAGUCCUCAUCACACCUUGUGCCUGUGAAUUCCAUAAGUUAAUUAAAUGGUACCUGAAGACUCCCUUUCUGUGCUCUGUGCUAAAUCUUCCCCAUCAGUGAUACUGGAUGACCCAAAGUAUUUGAUGGAAGAAACUCCCCCUCUGUCCACUUUCUCUCCAAGCCCUCGAUCACCUUGGCCGCCUCUUUCCUGCUCCCAACCCUUAUGAUGCCCUACAAGUCAACGAACAGCAAAAGCAAUGCAUGAAAUUGUAGGGCCAUUUGUAGGGCAAUGGCAAAGCUUGGAAAAUAUUGGGCCACCCACAUGUCUAUUCUGGCUCUUCUGGAAUGAUUCCGUGUCCUCCAGACUCCCGUCCCGACCAGGAACAUCUCCCCAUCGCCUGAGAAACUCGCCAGGGAUGAAAGUCUCCUCCAGACCAUCGCAAGAACCUGCUGGCAGACUUUCCUGGCGGGCGACGACACCGUGCUGUUUUCAAAAGACCUCACUGCCCAGACCAUUUUGGACAUCAUAGGAAACCGAAACCAUUUUUUUCACCCAGGGAAGAUUCUCCAAAUGGCAAUUGACGCCAUCUUCAAAUUGAGCUUCAUGAAACCCGAAUUCAAAGCAGAGGUGAAGACUUCCAUUGUUCACAUGACUUUUGAAGCUGCCCUGGAAUACACAACAGAGGUUGGCAUGGAGGACUUGAAGAGGAUUUAAAUAGGAUGCUUCGGAGCCUCCUCUGCGAGGCCCCAACUGCCAGGACCCUCUGUCUGCUUACAAAUGACCUGAAAUGUUAUCUGAGCAGUAGUCGGGAGAGAAAACAGGCAACCACCAGCAUCGAGUGGCUGCUGGCAUAUGCAGCAAGACACCCCAACCUGAAGCAAGCCACCCUCCCUCCAGAACUAGCCAGUCUGUGGCUGAGGCACAGUGAAGAAGAAAUCGUCAUCGAAGAUGUAGAGAGGUACGAUGACAGUUGAAUGCCACAGACUGGAUCAAGUAGGGAGGGACUGUUGUUUCUUGUUGAAUGCGUUGUUCUAAGUUGAUUGUUGUGGGUGUUGUUGCUGUUACAUAUUUUAAAAUCUUUUUUUGUAUAAUAA